UCUGGCACUGAGAUGCAGUGCUGUAGAACGCUGUGCCACUCGGGAGCCUUUGAAAGUGACGCAUAACAUUACAAUUGGUGGAUUCAUGCUAUAUUUAGACUAGAUAAUGUUAAAAAAGGUUGGAGGGUUGUAAAUGUAGAGCAAUGAAAUGGGGUAUCAGUCUACUGCUUGGUGACACCCGCAGAACACAACUGUGAAGGGUUUACACAAAUAUUAGCGUAGUAGCUCUUAUCAGGGACUUUGACUGAGAGAAAUGACCUGCCCUGUCAGCCUAUUGUGCGUACUUACAAUCAUACUGCACUGUACAGCCUUACCUAAGGAUUGGGGAUUAAUGAAAUGGGGGUAUCAGUCUACUCAGUACCCAAGUGAUAUUUUACCAACAUCCUCCUCAGUUAUCAGACUCCAAAACAUCCACUUGUAUUGUUUUUCCUCUGGAAUAGUGUUCAAUACACAUUGAAGGUUGACUGGUACAAUACAGGUUCUCUGGGUAUCAUUGACAAGACUGAUACCCCCAUGUCAUUGAUCCACAAUCCAUAGCUAAGGCUGUACAAUUAAAUAAGUAUGUGUCACGGAUCCCUCUGGAACUUUCAUUGCGCACACCUGGCCCCUAUUCCCACUGAUUGUAUUUGUAUAUAUGUGCCAUUUGUUCAUCAUGGUGCUCUCGAUUAUUGUUACAAGGUCCGUUGGUGCGUGUGAGUACCUGUGCUGUGUGUUUUGGCUUUCGUGCCAUUGUGGAUUGCGCAGAUGUGCGCGUGUGUUAUUUAUUCGAGUUAUGCCGACGUGGCAGAAUAAUCGGCCAUUAAGGGAGACAGCGGGAAUGGCCUGUCCGAUGACUGGUCCAUCUGGCACCGCUACAAAUUCGGCAGCUGCAACUGGGCCAUACGACGUCGCCACAAUGGGUCCGUCCGACGACGCCACUUCAGCAGCCACAACUGGCCCGUCCGUCGCCACUGCUGCUGGUCCGUCCGACGCCACCGCAUCUUCGGCAGCGCAACUGGCCUGUCCGACCACGACGCAACUGACACAACUUCGAACUGAUCGACCAGCACUGAGUUCCUGUGAUCAUCCUCGAGGUCGAUGUCAUUGCGCUGCUGGUCUUCGUCCCCGUGCCUUUACACGGCGUGCUGUAAUUUGGGAUCAAUAAAAAAAACUAUUACGCAUUCCUA